AGGAUGAACGCUGGCGGCGUGCUUAACACAUGCAAGUCGAACGAUGAAGGCUGGAGCUUGCUCUGGCUGGAUUAGUGGCGAACGGGUGAGUAACACGUGAGUAACCUGCCCCGGACUCUGGGAUAAGCGCUGGAAACGGCGUCUAAUACCGGAUACGAGCUUCCACCGCAUGGUGAGGAGCUGGGAAA
rnacentral:rRNA from 1 species